GCUAGCCUGAAGACCACUGUCACAGACACAUAGGACAAGACGCCCUUUUCCCCUGCAGAGGAAGGAGCUUUUACCCCACCCACUAUAGAACGCUGAAGAAACACAUCUUCUUGGGCAGGGCGAUGAGACAAUACUAGAACAUAGAAGUUUAUCAGCAUAACCCUGACUGCCAUGGGGAAGGAGGGGUUUGAGGUGAAGAGAGGAGUCACAGUUCCGUUCACUAUUCCCCCAACGAUGGCUGUCUCCAACUGGUUGCUGUUAACAGUCGUGCUGCAAUGAACAAGCCUGUGCAUGCCCCUUUGUGUUUCCUGAAGGCAGAUCCAGAGACAGUGAAUGACUACCUCACUAUUCUGGCAUAUCUGGAGGAUUUAAGGAUAAAAUACAGCUUAAAGAUAACAAAAUGCUGAGCCAAGAGAAGAUGACCAUAAAACUAGGCAAGUCAAAGCAAGACUCCAGGGAAAAGCAGGAAGCUAUUACACACAGAGCACAGUGAGCUAAUGGCAGCAAAACAGCAACAAGACGUUCCAAGAAUAAAUUGUCACCUCUGAUCCGUAUUUCCAGAAACGUGGAGGCUAAAAGUCUGUGCUAGCACUCUUCUUUGAAAUGUGACAGCCUGGAAAAUCCUUAGAGUCUAAUGCAAUCAUUUUGUCAAUUUGACAAGCACUUUUGGCCUCAGUCUCUAAGACAGCUACUCUAAUACCAACAUGUGUAUGCCUGCUUCUUCUCUAAUAAAUCAAAACACCGAAGAUUCAGGGAGAGUUACCCAUGGGACAUUUUAAGCCGCAUCACCGUUAGACUCUGAUAGUCUAAAACGUAAUGAAAGCUGUUACAGUUAAAGUUAGGAGUCUUCCUUAAAGCUUUCUGUAAAAUUUUUUUAGAACUUAAGUCCAAGUAGAAUAUAAUUACUGUAUCUUCUUUUUCCAGAAUUAUCUUUAGUC